AGAACAAAUAUCUUUCAGGAUACAUUUCUUUGUUUUGACCAAAGAAAUUUAUUUAUUAUUAUAAUUUUCUUUAUAAAAUAACCACGAUGAAGAGAAAAAAUGUUCCCUUCUGAGUUGGCGGCGCUGGCAGUGAAUAAUGAUGUAUUUAUCCGCCCUUGCCAUUGCAACGUCGGGCAUUUCUCUCUAGUUGGAGCCUGGUUUUGGGAUCAUGAUCAGAGUGGU
ensembl:snoRNA U3 Small nucleolar RNA U3